rnacentral:tRNA from 1 species
GGGCCUAUAGCUCAGUUGGUAGAGCACCGGCCUUUUAAGCCGAGGGUCGCAGGUUCAAACCCUGCUGGGCUCA